GGGAGAAGAGUCACUUCCUGUGGUCUCCUCCAUAGGUGCUGUCUGACGUGUUCAACGCUCCGGUCUACACCAUCGACCUGUCCGACUCCACUUGUUUGGGUUCAGCCUACAGAGCUCUGCACGGCCUGGUGGCAGAAUCCGGAGCGUCCUUCGUUGAUGUGGUGAAGAAAGCACCAGAACCACGACUGGUCGCCACCCCGCAUCCGAAGGCGAAGGAGAUGUACGACGAGCUGCUGAAGCGCUACGUGCAAUUGGAGGAGAGAGUUGUGCAGAAGAGCCACAGCUGAGCCUCAAACCGCCAUCAGUGAAAUCCCGCGACCGCCAUUUUCUACUGAAGCCAGCUUUGAGUUUGACUUUUACACCUGUUUACCUGAAAGAAGAUCAGAGUCAUCACAGGAACCCUCAGCCACCUGAAGAUGGGCUGCUCGCUUCGACUUCAGCCUGAUUGGAUCAACGACAUCAUCAUCAUGUCAAAGCCUGGUUGGAGGAUAGCAUUAACACAGCAUCGUGUGAUUUUAUAUGGGGGAGCAGAUUUGCUCAGUCCACCAGUAGUGAAACAGAAAAGAAGCUAAAAUGAUGAAACAGCCAGCGAGCCGUGACUGUGUCGCAUUUUAAGCUCCAAAAAUCUGAGAUGAGAGCGAUCGGCUGAAGAACGUCCACGUUAGUGCCAGCUGGGUCCUGCAGAGCAAAGUUUAACAUCCCAAAGUUUUUCAGAGUCUUCUUUUCACUCGUGACAGGCCUGACAUGUCUGUGACGUUUCUGACUGAAGCCCCUCCCACUGCUUCAUCACCUGGAUCCAGGCAGCGUUAGUUAUUCAUGUGUAAUUUUAGUGAAAUAAAGUGAACGAGUUCGUGAA